rnacentral:lncRNA from 1 species
GUUGGGCGAAGAGGCUCUUUUGUAUCUGUUCUUUCGAUUUGAUACUCCAAUAGCAUCUGCAGCAUUUAAAAGGUAAUCUCGAUCUGAAAGUUUUCAUCUUUUUAAGAUUUUGGCUUCUGGGUUUUAUGGCCUGAAUGGGUAGGAUAGGAUAAGUUUACAAUGUCUUUUUUGUUUUGUUUUUGAGGUUGUCAGUCAUUGAUUGUUACUGUGAUAUACAGUAGCUGAGUAGCUAGGUAGCUAUUGUAAGAUUUGAACAAUGCGAUGGUGUUUUUAUUCUGAGAGUGGUGAUUUGAACAAUGCGAUAUAAUUAUAAGAGCCAGGGUUUGUCCAGAGUAUCAAGGUCAGCCGCCAAGAUUAAUACCAAAAAAAUUAUAAGAGCCAUCCUUCAAAAUUUCUGUUUGUUUUAGAAUUGAACUAUCUGUUUGUAUGAAAUAAAUUCAUUUUAAAUAUCCUUUUUUGUUUGAAAUAUGUGAAUUCGGAAUCUGAUUAUGAACAUCGAUAGUAUUUUGGUUAAGCUGUGUGUGUGGAAACUGUCAUCGGUUGAUCUGCAAGUGGUUAGAGUGAAGGUUCAGUUGAUUAACUGUUAAGUUAGGACGAAAGAGGCUAAGGUUCUAAUCUUCGUCAUAGAUGCUAUUAAUGAAUAGUUGUAUUGAAGACGCAUGUUUAUAGGUCGUAUCUAACCAAGCUCAGAAUUUCAAUUUUGGCUUUCGAUUGUUUUCCUCCAUUUCUCGAGGGUGUUUACUUUUAAUUUAGAGUAAAGCAAUAAAUCUGCAGUCUAAGCUUAUGAUGACUACACUUGGGAAAACCAACUGAUAAAGACCAGAAUAGAGUAUAUAAAUCAUACACACAUUCGGAAACCAGAAAACAAAAAGGAAUAAAACCAUAUAUAUAUAUAUAUAUAUAUAUAUAUAU